GCGGGGGUGCCCGAGCCUGGACAAAGGGGCCAGACUUAAGAUCUGGUGGCGUAGGCCUGCCCGGGUUCGAAUCCCGGCCCCCGCA
rnacentral:tRNA from 2 species